UCGUUGUCAUGUUUCUGUUAUUCUCAAUCGUGUGGCUAUGCAAAGUGUGUUUAGCUGAGCAUUCAGAUUGAAGUGUAAUAGCACGUGUGUUGUGGUUUAAGUAGGUUUGCUCGAAUCUGAUAUCGCAAAAUUGCGAGAAGGAAGUGCCAAUGACGUCCAAACAAAGAAAAAAAUAGAAUCAAAUUUUAGCGAUUUGAAUACGAUCUCCUUCCGUAAAUUCAAAUGAAGAAUCCAAAACAUAAAUUUCACCAAAGAAAUCUUCAUCAUUUACUACUUGUUUUCAGUACUUUCAGUCAAUUCAGUAGUAAUUCGCCCCUUGGACAGACAGACAGACCAACAUUCGGUUUUAUAUACAAAUAUAGAUACCAUCAGACAUACAGUAAACUUGAAACAUAAAAAAAGUACAGAAAAAAGCGGUAGACAUUUUAGAAAUUGAUGUUGCGUAUUUCAGAAAAUAAUUAUGUUUUUCUCUUUGCCUUUGUGUACGUUCAUUUUGAAUGAUGUGAUUUAAGCGUGCGUCGGAAAAAAAUACUAGAAAAAGGUUUUGCUAAACGUAACACAACCAGAAAGUUACACCGUGGAAAUAUGAUUAUUCAACUUGAUAUGCGUGGUGUGUGUCCAAAACGCCAAAAAGAGAUUAAAAAAAACAAUGCAAGCGUUAAACAAAAGAAGUAUAAUUUCUGGUUUUGUUUAUAUAAUAAAUUUUGAUUAGAACAUAAGAGCUUGGACGCAGGUCGAGAGAACCUUUAUGAUGAUGGAUUAGGCCGCUGAAGAAAAACCCACCCAAUUUAUUUGCAUACAGAAAUGAACUGUCAAAUGAAAGAGCACAAAAAUGGAAGCCAUCCAUAGCAUGACCAACACUGUGGGUGUGUAUUUUGGCAUCAUCUCUUUCGAUUUUUCAUAUGUAUUUUUCCGCAUGUUCGCGUCAAUCUGAGAAAUAAGAAAAAAAAUCGUGCCAAUUGGACAAAACAAAAAACUCGUGCCUAAUUUCAUGGGCAAAUACAUUCCCUCCAUCGACACCAUCGAAGAAAGCUGUGUCAAUCGCUAUGUGCUAUGUACGCAAGUGCAGCGUUUCUGUGUUACAUAUUACUGUAUGUGGCAAUGAUGAGCUGUGUCGAUUUUGGUUGACCUUUGUGCGCGACAAAGCGAAAAACUAUCGGCAAAUAGUAGCAACAGCAACAAAAAUAUAAUAGCACAAGUAAUAGCAAUAGUUGAUGAGUAUAACAACAUUUUCUAACACAGUCAUUUUAGUUUUAAACUAAUUUCAUUGCCCUGAUGUAAUGAUGUAACUAUUAUAACUGACAAUUUCUAUACUUGCACGUAGCAUUCACACUAAAAUGUGAAUCGACUGAGAGAACCCACGCACAUCGGGCAUACACCGUGUGGUCGGAUCGGUUCAUUUAAGUUUGUUUCGGUCUCUUACGCUAUGUAUUAGCCCAUAUACCUAUGGAUAUCUGACUUCAUGGCUGGUCUUUACGACCAAACGUUAAGCUUAAAACUAUUACCUCUGCUCUAUUCCAGUUGAUACGAAUAUUUUCAGCUUGCAAUUUUACCAAACAUCCAUUUUCAUGCCAAAACAUUUUGUUUAAUUAACCACAUUUUGUUUAAUUAACCAUUUUUUGUUUAAUUAGCAACAAAUACGUAGAAUGCAGCGUAUAGCAAACAGUGUUAAUAAAUCGGAAUUGAAUGGGCCGUCGAAUUUACAUUACAACAAAUUUACUUGACUUCCAUGAGAUUUUCAAUUUAAAUGUCUUGUGCCACAGAGUCAACUGAGUAAAUCAGUCAUUUAUGAAAUAUUCAACUGAGAUAACAGUGUUUGAACCUUCAUUUUUUUCAUAAAUGAAGUGUCGAAAAAAUCGAUACAAAAUCAACUCCAAACAACAGCUCUGAAUUUCAUGUAAUGCUUUGAACAUCAAAAUCAGCAAGCGAUUAUACGGUGAGGGCGAGUGUACAAACAGAAACAGAUAUGUGACUAAAUCAGCUGGAGAAUGAAGAGAAAAUAAGAAAACCGCGUUGAAAUGUUUACUGAUACGGACCACAGUCAUACAACAACAGACAAUCAAAUGGUCACUUAUAUAUUUCGCCGAUAAAUUUCCACUUAUAUUCGAUACUCAAACUCCGAGUUACCUCAUUUAGUUGGGCUAUUCCAAAUCAAGACGCUAACAUUAAGAGUCGGGCAAUGUUACUGUCGCUUUGCAGUUGUGAGCAAAUCGUUCAAAUGUUCAUACACAACUCACAGGCGCACUGUAAUAUCAUCCAGUGAAAUAAUGAAAUCGCCGCUUAUAAGUGGACCACAUCGAGUGUGAACCACUCAACGGUAAAAUCAUAAUGAGCAGACCAACCUCUCAUAAGCAAAUCAGACGUUGACCGCGACUGCGUUAUUACAUUAUGUAAAAAAUAUGACUAAACAAAAUGAUCUGGGCGAAUGAGCGCGGGCAUUCAUUAAACGCUGUAUGUAGAAAACAUUUUCGAGUUUUUGGAGGAAAUCACCAAUAAUUUUGGUAUGGAGUUGAUGUGAUAGAGAUGCUGAUGGAAAAUAGUACAAGCCCAGGGUCAUUGAAUUUGAUUUGAUUUGUUUGCUUCUGUCUUUCUCUCCUUUUUGGUCAAAAGGCAAACAGCGCUGCGCAAUUAUUAAUAGGCGAUGGUAGAAUAGUUGUGGCACUUAUUCCCAGCUGUGCGUUUCGGAUGUUGAAAUUUGUGUAUUUCUUCUUCUAGGCGAAGAAAGCGUCGGUGGUGAAAAGGAAAAAUUGCAUCGAAAAGUGCGAGUUUGUGUGUAAAGCAAAUUUGAAAUCAUCAAGCCCUUUUUGGGUCAUCAAUCAAUCACAUCGAGCAUGAAAGAAUGAACAUUGAACAACGAAUGACAUCGCUAAUUGAACAAUUAAGCUAUAUUAAACGGAUCAAUGGCGUGUAUUUCUUCUUAUAAGAAGAAAUAAAUACAUAAAAAAUGAUUUGAUGAAUCAAGAAUGAAGUUUGAAGGUGUGGCUUAUACUUGUAUCAUAUGCUCAUGAUGCAAAAAAUGCAAGCAAUAAUACCAAGCCACUUCACGGGUGAGAAGUACGAAAAUAUACAUCGUAAUUGAAUUAAUACCUAACUCAAAUCAAUAAAUUUUGUCGUGUCACCAUAUGGCAAUACCAUAGCCACUUAUCGCUUACAUCCCUGGCAAUUUGAAUUGAAAUUCGAAUUUGAAUUUGAAUUUGAAUUCCUAUAGUCGUCAAUUAUUUAUUAAUCGAAUAAGCCAUCGAUACAUGUCCGAAAUGUAAAUGUAAUGGAAAUACAUGUAUGUAGGAAAACG